UUAGCCCAGCCCCGCUGCGGCUGAUUGGUCUAGUUAAACCCAGGUGUUCCUGAUACGAACUUCAGGAAAGGAUUUUACACUUGUGCAGACCGGGCGAGCAGAAUAAGAACCAGUCUCACUGUGUCGCCCAGGCUGGAGUGCAAGUGGCGAGAUCUUGGCUCACAACUGCAACCUCCAUCUCCCAGGUUCAAAUGAUUCUCCUGCCUCAGCCUCCUGAGUAUCUGGGAUUACGGGUGCCCACCACCAUGCCUGGCUAAUUUUUAAAAAUAUUUUUAGUAGAGACAGCGUUUCACCAACUUGGCCAGGCUGCUCUUGAACUCCUGACCUCAGGUAAUCCACCUGCCUUGGCCUCCCAAAGUGCUGGGAUUACAGGCGUGAGCCACCAUGCCUGACCAGCUUUAACUUUUCAAAAUCUGUCUUCAUAGACGAUAAUGGAACUAUCUACCAAAGCUAAAUAUUCACCUACCCCAUGACCCAGCAAUUUUACUCCUAGGUAUAUAUACCAAAAAAUUGAGUGUUCUGUGUCCACUAGAGAUAUGUGCCAAAGUGUUCAUAAUAGAUCCAAACUGGAAACAGCUCAAAUGUCCAUCAAUAGUAGAAAGGAUAAACAAAUGUUAGGAUGUUCAGAGCUUGAAAUAUGACACAAUAUAAAAGGACAAACUAUUAAAACUCACAACAGCAUGGAUAAAUCUUACAGACAUAAUUAUUGAGCAAAAGAUACCAGAAACACAAAAAUAUAUACUGUUUGAUUCCUUUAAAUAAAGGUUAAGAUGAUUCUCCCUCCUGCAGCCUUGUGAAGAAGGUGCCUUGCUUCCCCUUCACCUUCUGCCAUGAUUGUAAGUUUCCUGAGGCCUCCCCAGCCAUGUUGAAUUCUCAUUGUCCCUGACAAAAUAGCACCCUCUCUUCCUCUGCUCUUCCACCCUUUUCCUCUUCCACCCUUUUCCCCUUCCGCUGUGCAACUGAAGACUAGGAAAGAAUGACAUGCAAAAAAAGAGGUUUUGGAUUCAGCAUAGGACUAAGUACUGGAUGCUACUUACAGAAAACUUUAUAUUUGUGCUGAAAAGUCUUGUUAUCUAGGUGAAAUCCAAUGCUAUCCUAAUGACAAAAUUGUUGGGGAAAUAAAUCUAUAAGAGACUUUAUUUAAAGAAAUAAAAGAAAAAA